rnacentral:rRNA from 1 species
UACGUAGGGGGCAAGCGUUGUCCGGAAUCAUUGGGCGUAAAGAGCGUGUAGGCGGCCCGAUAAGUCCGCUGUGAAAGUCCAGGGCUCAACCCUGGGAUGCCGGUGGAUACUGUCGGGCUCGAGUCCGGAAGAGGAGUGUGGAAUUCCUGGUGUAGCGGUGAAAUGCGCAGAUAUCAGGAAGAACACCUAUGGCGAAGGCAGCUCUCUGGGACGGUACUGACGCUGAGGUGCGAAAGCUAGGGGAGCGAACGGG